rnacentral:rRNA from 1 species
UACGUAGGGAGCAAGCGUUGUCCGGAAUCAUUGGGCGUAAAGCGCGCGUAGGCGGUCUCAUAAGUCCGCUGUGAAAGUCAAAGGCUCAACCUUUGAAAGCCGGUGGAUACUGUGGGGCUAGAGUACGGAAGAGGCGAGUGGAAUUCCUGGUGUAGCGGUGGAAUGCGCAGAUAUCAGGAGGAACACCAAUAGCGAAGGCAGCUCGCUGGGACGUUACUGACGCUGAGGCGCGAAAGCGUGGGGAGCAAACAGG